AAGAGACAGCGCCGCCGGCCGUGGGGAGCGGACGCAGUGAUUUGCUCCCCCUCGUGCAGCAACCCCCACACCCAGCACCAGGAGCCUGUUCCUCUCACGCCCUCACCUGGCUGAGCCGCAGUAGUUCUUCAGUGGCAAGCUUUAUGUCCUGACCCAGCUAAAGCUGCCAGUUGAAGAACUGUUGCCCUCUGCCCCUGGCUUCGAGGAGGAGGAGGAGCUGCUUUCCCCAUCAUCUGGAAGCAUCUCCCUCCAGCCCUCGCUAUGUGCCUCUGCCAUCUUCACCCAUCAUGGAGCAGAGGUGAGGAGAGGCAGCCUGGGAAUAUGGAGACCAGUGAAGGACCAGGCCUGGAGAGCACAGGGUCCUACCUGGGCAUCCAGCAGAGGAGCCCCUAAAGGCCAGGAGCACCCCAAGAGGAGGGAGGGCAGCCAGCCUCCAUUGACGGCGAGCCUCCAGCCCUCUCCUACUUUGAUCACCAUUUCUCUCCAGGCUUUCUGCCUCCGAGAUGUGGCACCAUAGUGCGGUGCCCUGUGGCUUCACCGCCCUACUUCCACCUCCGCCCAGCCUGUAAUGUUUAUAUAAGCAGCCUCAAGGACCAAGAACCAUCUGCGAAAGGACACACACAGGAAAUUCAUAAA
rnacentral:lncRNA from 10 species